rnacentral:rRNA from 1 species
GACGAACGCUGGCGGCGUGCUUAACACAUGCAAGUCGAACGGAAAGGCCCUGCUCUUGUGGGGUGCUCGAGUGGCGAACGGGUGAGUAACACGUGAGUAACCUGCCCUUGACUUUGGGAUAACUUCAGGAAACUGGGGCUAAUACCGGAUAGGAGCUCCUGCUGCAUGGUGGGGGUUGGAAAGUUUCGGCGGUUGGGGAUGGACUCGCGGCUUAUCAGCUUGUUGGUGGGGUAGUGGCUUACGAAGGCUUUGACGGGUAGCCGGCCUGAGAGGGUGACCGGCCACAUUAGGACUGAGAGACGGCGCAGACUGCAACGGGAGGCAGCAGUGGAGAAUAUUGCACAAUGAGCGAGAGCCUGAUGCGACAACGCCGGGUGCGGGAUGACGGCCUUCGGGUUGUAAACCGCUUUCGCCUGUGACGAGGCGUGAGUGACGGUAAUGGGUAAAAAAGCACCGGCUAACUACGUG